rfam:Gossypium hirsutum cultivar TM-1 chromosome 4, whole genome shotgun sequence
GCUGUUGUAGUAUAGUUGUAAGUAUUUCCGCCUGUCACGCGUAAAACCCGGGUUUGAUCCCCGGCAACGGCG